GAUGAACGCUGGCGGCGUGCCUAAUACAUGCAAGUCGAGCGAACAGACGAGGAGCUUGCUCCUCUGACGUUAGCGGCGGACGGGUGAGUAACACGUGGAUAACCUACCUAUAAGACUGGGAUAACUUCGGGAAACCGGAUCUAAUACCGGAUAAUAUAUUGAACCGCAUGGUUCAAUAGUGAAAGACGGUUUUGCUGGCACUUAUAGAUGGAUCCGCGCCGCAUUAGCUAGUUGGUAAGGUAACGGCUUACCAAGGCAACGAUGCGUAGCCGACCUGAGAGGGUGAUCGGCCACACUGGAACUGAGACACGGUCCAGACUCCUACGGGAGGCAGCAGUAGGGACUCUUCCGCAAUGGGCGAAAGCCUGACGGAGCAACGCCGCGUGAGUGAUGAAGGUCUUCGGAUCGUAAAACUCUGUUAUUAGGGAAGAACAAAUGUGUAAGUAACUAUGCACGUCUUGACGGUACCUAAUCAGAAAGCCACGGCUAACUACGUG
rnacentral:rRNA from 1 species